ACAGCUGUAGCUCAGUGGUAGAGCAUCUGCUUUGCACCCAGAACCUCCCAGGUUCCAUUCCUAGGUACGGCUGGG